rnacentral:lncRNA from 1 species
UUAUCGCACUAGAUGUUCGCAUGUAUUAACGAUCGCUUUGAUGUGCAGCGAGAUGUGAAUGUUCAUAAGACGUGCUAGGUCAGUGCACUGUUGCAAUGACUGUGGCUUCGGCUUCAGUUAGACCAAAUGAUCAUCUACUUACUUACAUAUUGCACAGCUAUUCCUUAUUGGCAGCUGCUGUAGUCGAGUUCCAUGUAGUGCAUGACACGCAAUUUACAUUGCCUUUGUGCUCUCGAUGGCUUUGCAGGUUUCUUGUCUUUUGCAUCCCUGGAGCAGUCUUCUUCAUUGGCAUCUGUACGAAGUCGACUGCAUUCUUGCCUGCAGUGCACCUAUGUGACCCUGGACAAGUCUACUAUGAACGGCCACCUUCAAAAACACAUGGGCGAGCCCCCCUUACAGUGCAAUUUGUGUCCAGCGGCAUUCACUAGCAAGUCCAAGCUGAUGGAUCACGUGCGCACCCACACAGGAGAGCGUCCCUUCUCCUGUGCCUACUGCAGUGCGUCCUUUGUGAGGAAAAGGAACCUCAUGAUACAUGUCCGCGUGCACACAGGAGAGCGGCCAUUUCCCUGUGUCCACUGCAAUGCGUCCUUUGUGAUGAAAAGCCACUUCGUUGCGCACAUGCGCCUUCACACAGGAGAGCGUCCUUACUCCUGUGUCCACUGCAGUGCAUCCUUUAGGCAGACAAGCCACCUAGUGAGUCAUAUGCGCAUGCACACAGGAGAGUGUCCAUUUUCCUGUGUUCACUGCAGUGCAUCAUUUUCGAUGAAAAGAUACCUCAGUUAAGCACAUGCGUACUCACACAGGAGAGCGUCCCUUCUCCUGUGUGCGCUGUAAUGCAUCCUUUGGUCAGAAGAACAGCCUCGUGAAACACUUCUGCAGACAGAGAGGAGAGCAUCCCUUCUCCUGUGUCCACUGCAGUGCAUCCUUUUUGAUGAAAAACUACCUUGUUGAGCACAUGCGCUCGCACACACAAGAGCGUCCUUUUUGCUGUGUCCAGUGCAAUGCAUCCUUUGUGGAGAAAAGCAAGCUCGUGAGACACAUCCGCACGCACACAGGAGAGCGUCCCUUUUCCUGUGUCCACUGCAAUGCAUCUUUUUCACGAAACUACAACCUUAUGGACCACAUAUCCCGUCGUCAUAAAAACAAGAAGUCAUAAAGGUGACGGCCUCAAGUCCUUGGACACGGGCGGCUGCCUUGGUGUGCCGGACGGCCCAGAGUUGAUCAGCAAGGUCGUGGCUGAGCAGGGCCACCUCCAGUCGCGCCCCGCGGUUCGAGUCUGCCAUGUCUACCCUGUUCUAGGGUACGCCUGCUGCUCGCUACCAGUACACUCCCACAACAUGUGCUGCAGCGUCGCUCUGGCUCUGCACGCUUUAUAUUCGUCGAAUGUAUAAAUGUCUGCGUAGCAGAGGCAAAGGAUCACUGGGUUCGGGUAAAUGUUUAUCUGUAGUUGUCUCCAGACAACCUGAUGUAUUUCGGAGAAAACAAAUUUUUUUGGUCACGUGGGAGCCCUCUGAAUUCCGCAUAAUGUCUAAGUGAUGUUUCUGAGAACGUUUAUUCUGAGAGUAUAGUUUCUCGUUGCGAUACUAAAUUUCGUUUACUAAUUAAGCAAAGGCAUUUGUGUAAGGCAUUCGAAGCUCAAUAAUAUUACUGCAAUUUUUCUGCCUUAUACGCCUCCAGAAAUGUUGCCAAAAUCUUCUAUGUUUGCAUUUUUUUUCUCUUGUAAAACUGUGCUAUGUGCGAAUUUUUCAGUAAACAAUGUUUACUUUGUGGA